rnacentral:rRNA from 1 species
UACAGAGGUCUCAAGCGUUGUUCGGAUUCAUUGGGCGUAAAGGGUGUGUAGGUGGCGCCGUAAGUCGGGUGUGAAAUUUCGGAGCUUAACUCCGAAACUGCAUUCGAUACUGCGGCGCUUGAGGACUGGAGAGGAGACUGGAAUUCAUGGUGUAGCAGUGAAAUGCGUAGAGAUCAUGAGGAAGACCAGUGGCGAAGGCGGGUCUCUGGACAGUUCCUGACACUGAGACACGAAGGCCAGGGGAGCAAACGAG